rnacentral:tRNA from 1 species
GAGGCUUUAGCUUAGUUAAAGUGUAUGAGUUGCAUUCAUGAGAUGGACUAUUGAAUUUCCAGGCCUU